AUUGAACGCUGGCGGCAGGCCUAACACAUGCAAGUCGAACGAGUGGCGGACGGGUGAGUAAUGUCUGGGAAAGUGCCCGAUGGAGGGGGAUAACUACUGGAAACGGUAGCUAAUACCGCAUACCAUCGGAUGUGCCCAGAUGGGAUUAGCUAGUAGGUGGGGUAACGGCUCACCUAGGCGACGAUCCCUAGCUGGUCUGAGAGGAUGACCAGCCACACUGGGACUGAGACACGGUCCAGACUCCUACGGGAGGCAGCAGUAGGGAAUAUUGGACAAUGGGCGAAAGUCUGAUGCAGCCAUGCCGCGUGUAUGAAGAAGGUCUUCGGGUUGUAAAGUACUUUCGUCAGAGAGGCGGUACCCACCGAGGAAGCACCGGCUAACUACGUGCCAGCAGCCGCGGUAAUUC
rnacentral:rRNA from 1 species